CAGCGCUUUAGUCAUUAAGAGUACUACAAGUGGCUCAUAUUUUGCGCCGUUUUGAUUUCCUUUCGGCUGCUCUCAUCUUGUCUUACCUUUUCCGUCUUGGUGCUUCAGCGAUUCAAGCCGCGGCGCAACCUCCUCUCACGCCCUCUCACACGGUCUCUCCGCAGUCGCUUGGCUCGGGUGCCUUUCACCUUUUUCUUUUCGUUCCCUCUUCUAUUCGUUUGCUUGCCAUCACUACUUUAUCGCAUCACACGUCUGUGAGUAUGCUUGGAUGUGCUUGGGCGUGCUGAGUCGUUGACGCGUCGUUUUCCGCUGCGCCGCCUUGUUCUUUCGCUUUCUUUCAUAUUGGAUUGCUUAUCGCUUGCUGCAGGCAGUCCUCCGGUGGCUGCUGCUCUUUCUUUUCAGUGUCGACCCCCUCCCCAUUUUCUAUAUCUGUCGUUGCCUCGGUGCAUUUUCUGUGUAGGCUUGCGCUUGCGUGUGUCUGAGAGAGCGUUAGGCAAGCUGCACAAAGAACAGCAACAGCGCCGCGCAUUCCUCUGUACCUCGGCACGCAUUCUACGACAAACGCGCCCUCGUCAAGUGACGCAGAGAAGCGGAGAGGAGGGGAAGGGACUCGUUGACAGAUACACGUCGCGGUGGACAGGCACGCUGCGCACACGCACGCUCUCUUUCACACCCAACGAACACGCGCUAAUCGGUGUGAAAGCGCCAGGUCUCUGUCCUCGGUUGCAUCCUUCGUCGUACUGAGCUUGCCUCUGCACAGACAAGCACACAUACAUACCAACAUAGCUGCCCGUCUCCAUACACUUCUCACAUCUUGUUGUGCCUCUCAUUUCUCCUCGCACUUCCUAUUGAGCGCCUCCUCUCUUGACCGCAGAAAAGGACCGGCAAUAACUGAAACGAGGAAAGGCUUCCUUGUUUUUUUUUUUGUGCUCGGAUUGCUGAGAGUGAGUGUGCCCGCUUACACGCACGUGAACGUGCUUGCCUGUCUGCGCGCGGCUCUCUCGCCGUCUUUCUCCUCGUGUGUGUGUGUGUGCCCCGAGUGCUUCCGUGCGCGUGUGCGCGCUUGUCCCUCGAGUGUGGGGCAUCCUCAUCAUCAUCUUGUUUUUCUUCUCCGUUCUAUUUUCCUUCCCCCACCGUGGCGAUUGUUUCGUGGCUGUCGUGGUGUGCCGUUGGCUGCUUCGCGUGCAUUGGCUUGGUCGGUGCCGGGAAGCCUUCUCUUCUUUUCAAUCUCGACACUCCUUCAUUUUACGGCGUUUUUCACUAUUGCCUUCCUGUGUAGUUGUUUUGAAGCGCGGAGGCGAAAGGAAGCUGAUCAGCAACGCGAAGUGCAGAAACAGGGCUGUUCAUGGGAGUGAGGCAGCAACGACGAAUCGAAAAGAAGAAGGCUGAUCGCGCGCGCACGUGCGUUGCUCUUUGUAUGUUUGUUGUCACUCCCGUAUUGUGAGUUCUGUGACACAGCCCGGACUUACUCUUUCUGUGUCACCAUCCAUUUGCUUUUUCCAGUUUUUUUUUUUCGACCUUUCUCCUUUCCGAUUUUGUCGUUUCUCUACGCGACUCUAUGUAUCUACGCGUCCUGAUUCCAGCUGUGCCCUGCGUGUUUCUGCCCUGCGUUCGUGCGCGUGUGCUCAUUGUCGGACACCUCCUUCGACGUUUCGCUCCCCUUCGCACCUUUUCGCUUUCUCUUCUUGUCUCUUGAAUCAUCUCGUUGCUCUCUGUCGCACCUUGUCCGUGGCGGGCGGCCCUUUUCGCUUUUUUUUGUUUGCGUGCCGGAGCCGGCUGCCCGCGAACUUCUCAGCGCCUCAUUUCUCAGCGUGGGCCCACCUGUCCACUCCCCACCCGACUCUCCGUCUCUCUGUUGGCAUCUGUGAAACUCGCGAGUAGAGCAACCGCCACAAGCAAAAAACAAACACACACCCACACACACACCCACACACACACACACACCUACGCACUUACGCACACCGUAAAUCCAACAUAGAUUGGCGAGAAAACCUGCGAGCGCUAACUGCCGUGAAGGCCGCACGCCCUUUUUUCGUCUUGUGUGCUUUGCUGUGGUGUACAGGUCGUGCUAUCACCUCCUUUUCCUGGCCUGUGGUGCAGGAGCUGCUCUUGUCUGGGUUUGGCGACGCCUCUGCAACUGCCUGUGUACCGGCACGGAAUCUGCUGCCUUUCUCUCCUUUGGCGAUUCUUCUAACCGUGUGGUGGUGCGUCGCUGAGUCUAUGCCUUUCGCCCUCUUGAGCUGAGCUGUGACCUCUUCCUCUCUUUGUUCUGCCUCUUGUCGUCUUUCGCUCGGUUCGUUGUCGGUGUUGAAAGACACACGUGUGUCUGUCUCUGUCGGUGUCUGCCUGUGGCCGUCGCUCGAGUUCUUUGCUCUUGUCGUUACUUCUUAUUUUGUUCUUUGCUUAACGCUUGACACAGGUGCUUGUUUUUGCUUCCUUUGAACGCCCUCUUCCCUGCGCUGUUUCUCUUUCUCUCCACCCCGCUGCAAGCGUGCGUGCUGGCGUGUGCCCCGGUGGCGUACGUACAACUCGGGUGGCACCGCCUGCAGCGUUUCGGACAAGAGGUUUAGUGAGGCAGCCCUUCUUGCAUCAUUUUUUUUUAUUGUCGUGUGGCUUCCCUGCGCUUCCUCGAGCAUCAUGCAUCUGUUAGCCGGCCGUUACAUUUUGGUGAAGCAGAUCGGCAAGGGCGGCUUUGGCGCUGUGGAGGAGUAUACGGACGCCAUCACAAAGGAUAAUGUCGCCAUCAAAACGAUCCCUAGCCGGUACGUAAAUCAAGAGAGCCGCCGGCUCGUGCGAGAGAUCGACAUUAUGUGCUUCCUGCACGAGGCUCACCCGCAUGUCAUCGGAUACUUCAGCAUCUUUGCCACCAAAGGCACCGCCAUACCGCACCACAACGACUCCAACGCGUUCGAUGACCCGCUCAUGAGCGUUGCACAGACGGCAGAGAACACAGCCUUUGAAUUGAACGUGCUGGGCGAGCAUUACGCAGGCCUGAACGAGGAUGAGCGGCUGCGCCUGCAUCACGAGGAGCUGAUGGCGUUUGUGGCGAAGCUAACCAAAACAGACGAGUUCAACGUUCACAUUGUCAUGCCGCUCAUGAAGGGGGACCUCUUCUACUUUAUCCGACUGCUCUCGUCGCAGUCGAGUGUUCAGCGCCUAGGGGUGACGCAUCACUUCUUAGCUCAGGUGGCCGUUGUGUUCGCCUUUCAGAUAUGCUUUGGCCUCGACUACCUGCACCAGUGCUCCAUCAUCCACCGCGACAUGAAGCCAGACAACGUGCUGGUGCGCCUCGACAUCACCAACCCGUACAUGUCCACCGCGCUGAUCGCAGACAUGGGUCUCGCACGGGACGCCCAGCAUAGCGACACCAUCUACAUCUGCACUCGGUAUUACCGGCCACCAGAGGUCAUCACCAGCGUGUCAGGCGGGUCGCCGCGGAUCGACAUCUGGUCCUUGGGCUGCAUCUUUUACGAAAUGUGCACCGGGCAGACGCUCUUCACCAUGCGGACGGCGCUGAAUGAGCGCGGCGAGUGGGACGGCGCCAAGGCGAGCCUGCAGCUCGAGGUAGUUCUCAACACCAUUGGCACCCCCGCUGCCGAGGAUAUUGAGCGCUAUAUGCCUAGCGGAAACGCAAAGCUGUACUUGCAGCGCAGUGCCGCACGCCCGUCGCAGCUUCGACAGCUGAUCGAGCAGAACUGGAUUCUGCACACAAGCGAUGACGAAAAGGAGAAGUGGAUCGACCUCAUCACUCGCUGCGUUGCCUUCUUCCCCGAGCAGCGGCCAACGGCCCAGCAGCUCUGCCAACACCAGUUGUUCCGCAACUACAAUGUGUUCUACGGCUCCAAUGUGAAGCAGUACGCGCCAACGCCGUACACGUCAUCCUACUGCGGCUCUUCUGACAGCACCCGCGCGGAGAACAAGGCAGCCAUUUUGGCUCUUGUGCAGCGCGCUCUGCGCAAAACGAUGCCGCCACUGAACGAGGAGAGUAGCGACGAGGAGUCUAGCUCGCUGAACAGCAGCAGCGGCAGCGCCAGCAGCGGCGAUAACGGGAGCGACGACGAGAGAGCUACCGCGACACAGCCAACCUCCAUCAACGACUACGUGUCUGCCGCCCGCCGCUGCUCGACCUCGCUGCCGCGCGACAGCCUUCAGCAGCCCAGUGGCAGUCACGAGAACGAAGAGUCGGGCUCCGUAGCAGAGCCGUUCUCAGCCCUUGACUCAACAAGUACGAGUGGCGCACCAGCCGCACCACCGCCAGCGCGGCAGCGCCAGGGUUACGCCUUGCAGCCGUUUGACAAUAGCACCUCGAAAGACUACUGCAACUCUUUCCUCGACGACGAUGACGAGGGAGACGUUGAGCGCAACCGCGAGCGGGCACGUGACACCGAGGACGAAGAGUGCUUGCCGGUUUUUCAGCAGCAGCGCCCCAGUGCUUUCAUGGCGCACUAUAGUCCUGGCAGUGCCUUCCGCCAUAGUCUUGCUUCGCUGCCAGACGGCCCCCCUGCGGCUGCUGCAUCUGCCACUGCGGCGCCGGCUGCGCAGGCGCAGCCGGAAAAGCGCUUCGCGCACUCUUAUAGCUCCGAGGAGAGUGGCCCAGUAGUGGAAGAUACGCCGCCGCUGGGACCGAGCGCCACAUUCCGCGACCGAAUUACGCGGCGUCGGUCGAGCGCCGCCCAAGAGGAGGAAGAUCCCAAGCUGGAGUCGAUGAUGCCGAGCGCGUUCAACCUGGACAACUACCGCGCCGGCAAAGCUCUUGACGUAACAAUGAACGAGGAGCCAUGCAUCCCUGAAAGCGGAUCGCCGCAGGCAAUGGAGUCUAUGCCCGCCGAUGACGUCGCGCGACUGCUGGCGGCGUACAACAUGCCCUUGGAGGGGAGCAACUACCACGCCAUGCUAAGCCGUGCGCAGUCCGUGCCCCCCUCCGCCAUGCCCAGCGAUCCGUAUCAUUUCAUUUCUCAGUGCCCCAUUGGUGGCGGUGUGGAGGCGGCGAUGCUACCGCAGCAGCAGUCCUUCCACACUGCUGGAUCGCCGAGCGAGGCGAAUGGCGAGCCGCGCGGCGGCAACGAUGGGCAGUGUGGCGCGGACUCUGAAGUCUGCAGCUGGGCAGUGGCGCCGCCGGCGUCGACAGUCCCACCUGGCAACGGUGCCGCUGUGGAGGCGGGCUCCGAUGACCAGUACGACUACUUGGCCGGCACAGACUACUACAUUGGCCCUACGCCGAGCAACGUGGCGCAGGCGGCGGCCGCUCGCCAGCCAGCGGAGAAGCAUGGCAGCUCGCCAUACUCCCUCAAGGAGGCGGAUGACAUGCGACCUGAGCAAGCGCAGCUGCGCACGCUUUCGCACGCGUCACCCUCGCCAACCUAUCUGCCCAGCCCACAGCCCUCUGAGACGUCCCUUUUUCACCAGCCGCCGCCGCCGCCGCAUGCUCUCCAUGAGCAGAGCGUGGCCGGAUUUCCGCCCAUAGCAGAUGCAGAGCUACGUCAGCGCUACAUGUCGUACCGGCACACGCCGCGAAGCAUCCAGGCGGCGACGUCGUCCGUGCUGGAGGAGCUGGGCGGCUGUACGCACGACGCCGAGCGGUCAAGUGAGCUGCGCCAGCUGCUCAACUACUACACUUCUCUCGAGGUCAAGACCUUGUACGCGAUAUGAGGGCGGGCCGCGAUGCAUCGAGGAGGAGCUGCCGAAGGUGGGCAGGGGAGGAGGCCAGGCGUAUCGGCUCCAAGCGUCUUGCUAUUUUUCCUUUGCUUUGCUUCUUUUUCUUUGCUUUCAGGUUUUGCGUUUCCCAUUCUUACACCCCGGUGAGGAGAGACUUGGUGACGCACACGGGGGCAGCGCACCGCAGGUGCGAGUACAGCACCUCAGGCGGGCCUAGGUGUGCGUGUGUGCGGCGCUCUCCGUCACUGUUGCGAUUCAAACAAAGUGCUCGUCUUCGUUGGACUCUUUGCUGCACUGCUGUUCCUGUCUCUCUGCCGCCUUCUCCUGCUCUCUCCGUUGCGUGCUCACUCCACGCGCCGAGGCUGCCAUCCACUCGCUAGCCGACGGGCCUGCCUUUCCUCGUUGUUUUUGCUGCAUGUGAUGGUACCCAUAGAACCAAGUAACUUCUCCCUCUUUCACAUGUGCCGCAGGCGUGCAUGGAUGAGUGCCUGCCUUCCUCAUGACUCUGCUUUUACGUGAGCGUGUAGGCUUCGUGUGGCUAGAUGGCGGCGCUUCGUUCUUCCCUGAGUAUGCUCAUCUCUUUCUGUCGGGAUUUCUUGUCUCUACUGGUGCCCCUUGCUGACAGGCCGGCGGGCGGGGGCACCCUUCACAGUGGGCGGUAUCUCAAGGGUCCAAUGCACCCCUCCCCCCUCCCCUCGCUUGAGCCGUUGACUUGGGAGAGUGAGGGAGAGAGAAGAAGCGCGGGGCUGGAGGAUGGACAGUGACAGGGAGCAGAUGCCACUGCGCCCUCUUGUUGCUCACCAUUUUGUUUUUCUUCGCUCCUCUUGCUCCUCCUAGUGCGUGUGUCAUCGUAUUCAGGGAAGCGGGGCGGCGCCCGUUGGGCGGUGAGCGUGCCGCGGAUGACCCGCCGGGUGCGGGAAACACAGGUGAGUAUGCAUUCAUAGAGUCCGGGGCUCCUUUUGCUUCCCUCUCACGGCAGUGUUUUGGCACUUCUUCGUGGGCGUGUGUGCGCGUCGGUGCGCGGACACCGAGGCGAUCGGUGCGGUCGGUGGCGUUCUCCUUCCGCCAUGAGACCAGGGAGACAUGUGAAGAGACAAACAAAAAGAGAGGGCGACGCACACAGCGGCAUGUCAGCGCCGCCACGCGCACUCGCCGCGCUUUCGCAUUGGAAGGGGGUAUCGCGAGGAGCGCGUGUGGUGGAGCGCUUUGCUUUAGUGAGCUCGCCACUUCUCUCUCUUUCCACGUUGGUGGCAUGGAGGUCGAGAGGAGAGGGGGAGGACUGCCGUUGCUCUGCCCUCCGGCGCGCACGCCGACGAAAGAAGGCCCUCUCGCGUAUUCCGCUCAUUCGCCCAGGUGGAGGACAGCCGUGGCCACGACUUG
rnacentral:misc_RNA from 1 species